AGUGAAACUGACUUUGGUAGAGAGGGCACAUUGUAUGUAUGUUUAUGGGAACUAGAGAAGGGGAACACCAUAAUGGAGGAAGGGUAAAAGGCAAACUAAUGCAACAGCAAUACUUACAAGACAAUAUGCUAUACACCAACUGUACAU